GCCCCGCCGCCCGGCGCUAGCUCUCGGCUUGUGUUUCUUCCUCCUCGAAAAAGUGUGUUUUUCGUAAAAAUUCGUCACCGCGGCACCCCGUUUCUUAACGGCGGUGCUGGGGACAGAAGGUAGUUUGGUCUUUUCGCGUUUCUUUCGCCUCAGGGUUAAAAUGGUUUUCGUGCGAGGCUGGAAUCCUUGAGUUUGGGGAUUGCACGCAGAGCCGGACAGUAAGAUUUUUAUUUUUACUUUUGAAUUACAACUCUGCUUCUGACAGCACUGCCAUACUGGCAGCGGAUUCGUGUUCCUGAGACGGUUUUUCAUCAGCGUAGUCUAAAAUGGAGGUCAUUGGGGAAACUGCUUAAACAAAGAAAUGAGGCCAUAGCAGCUUUUGGAAAAUUCUUCUCUUGGCUUGUCCAGGUUGCUGAGGCAGAGCAUUGUUCGUUCCUGUUAUCAUGAAUUUCCCUUCCCCUGUUACAAGCACACGUUGCGCGUGUCAUCCAGCAUCUCCCAGUGCUGCAUGUUUGGACCACUGCUCUCUGUCCUGUCCCUGGUGGAACAGCGGCUCCUUUCCACUGCAGCUUUACUCUGGAGAAGGAGGAGGCAUUCUCCUAGGCUGUCCACUCCACAAACAGCCUCAGUAGAAGUGCUGGUUUACCUGGCCAAGUCUUUACUUGCACUUCAAGACUGUGAGAACGAGAUGUUAAUUUUGACUUCUAACCGGCACCUGCAGGAGUGUGGGUAUAUGUUUUGUCAGGGUGAAAUAAUAAUUGGCAGAUGUGUGACAGUACACCUCGUUGCAGAACUCCAAAGUCCUGCAUGGUCUUCUACAUCAGUAGGCAGUGCAGGCAGAUGCGGUGUGGUUGAGCUGCUUCCUAAUUGCCUGGUGCCUUGGCUCAGGAGAAAAUCUUUGAUCAGUUCUGGAAAGAAGUACUAAACAGAUGGGAAUAGUGCCACCAGCUGCGGUACUUCAGGAGGAGGAAGACAUCUAUGCUACCCUUCCUCCUUGUAGCCUGCAGUGUAUGAGCAGCAGAGGACUGCAAGAUGAGCACUGAGAACACAGAUGAGAUGCUGAAAAGUUGGUAUUCAUGGCUCCUUCCCAGACUUUUUGAGGUUGGGAAACCUAUGUAUUUCAGGAGUUGGUAGUCCUUUCCUUCUUGGUGAUACCCAGCGAAUUAUAGUAUUGUGUUGUUAUGUUUUUUGUUUGUUUGUUUCUUUUUUGUGUGUGUGGUUGGUUGGUUGGUUGGUUGGUGUUUUUUCCUCCUAUAAGCUUUUUCACUUGUUUCCUCCAGUCCCUAUCCUCUGUUUCCUCCUUCCCCCUCAUAAAUAAAUAAAUAAAUAAAUAAAUAAAUAAAUGUUAUAGGCCUUACAGAGCAUUCUGGAAACUUCCCUAGCAAGAUUUCUCUACAUCCAGCCCAGUAUUCACAGGAUGAGUCUUGGUACCAGCAAAAGCACCGGGAUAUUCCUAUUUUUGGUGAUGCCUUCCUAACAUGGCUUGUGGGUCCUUACCCUGGCUACGUCACCAGUCAGUAGAACCACUGCAUAGGACUGUGUGGGUGACCAGAAAUAUCCACUUCCCUGUAGGACACUGCCAACUAUCUCCUGGGCAUAUGGGCACCUGAGGCAGGUGGUCAGUGCUGCUCAGCUUUGGUUCACAGGUUCCCUGGGGUUCUGGUCUCUCCUUAAACUAUUCAACCAUUUACAUCACUGUGUCACCUCUGCCACUGUCUACCUCCUUUGUCCAUUCUUUUCUUGCUGUAGAUCAACCCCUGUGUGCCUGACUGCACACAGACAACUGAGGCAGGGUGGGGAGGGUGGUAUCUGUUCUUUGUUCAGUUGGACAAAGGAAUGAUAAAAAUAUCUUCUUUGGUGCUUAAUACCUGCUACAAGCUUCACCUGUCUGUCUAGACCAACCACAGUGAUGUUCAGCACAUUUCUUUGCUGAGUUGCUAUAGUUCAAAACCUCAAUCCAGGGACACAAAGUGGGCGCAUUUGAUGAGGCAGGGAGGAGGUAGAUUUUACAUGUUUAAUAAUGUCAGGCUUUGCUUGCAUGCUGUAGAGAAGAAAUGGUUCAUCCCUGGGAGAAGGAGUGCUGGUGUGUAGCAGAUUCCUGGAAACGAGAAAAAAUGAGCAGGAGGCACCUUCAAAUGGGUGAGGUGGAUGAGAGGGAGAAGAGGCGAAAGAAAGAGGAAGCAAAGACAGAGCAGGCCGAUGGGCGGUACUGUUGACACCUAUGAUACUUUGCAGUCAAUAUUCAUUCAAACAGCAAUCCUGAACUGGGUCGUUCCAAGUAAGCAAUAGGUCAUCUUUACACAAAUCAAGGGGAAUCUACCCUGAUAUUAACCCAGCAGCGGGUAUCUUGAGAAUCCAAGAUAUCCUGCCACAAGUUGCCUUCAAGUCUGGCAAACGGAAAGGGGGGAAAAGGACCUAGAAAAAUGAAGCAUGGUUUCCUUGUGGGAACAGAGUCCUGUCGAGUGCAGAGGCAUAAGCAGAACUGGAGUGAAAUCUUCCUCUAUGCAGUUAACACGGUGUACAAGGCAUUUUUGUUCUGUAUUGCUGGAUAAGGGUCGGAUUUUCCAUCCCAUGGAACCAGAACCCAAAACUCUUCUUCCAAAUGUUAUUCUGUGCUCAGGGAAUCCACUCUUCGGUAAAAGUGGAAAGCACACAAAAGGCCAGGGGAAGCACAGGCUGGUUGUGUCUCUGCGUGCUGUUCCUGUGGGAAAGACAGUGCUUCAAGAGAACAAAAGGGUGCUAAAACCGCUUCUUUAAAAUGUGCAGAUUUCUUUUUUGUCUUAAGUAAAUUCCCAUUUCCUUUGACAUCAGGUUGGUAGACCCAUGCCUGAGGAAUGAUUUCAGCUUCCUCUUUCUCAGCUUUCCAUCUAAUUUAGCACAAUGUGUCUAGCAAGGCAUCUAACAAACCUUGGUGACUAAUAUGUUUUUGUUUUCUUAUGCUUGUGAUUGCCUGAUGAACUCCCAAAAGAAAACUGGUUUAUGCUGCCUGGUGAACCUUAUGUUGCUGAUUCCAGCUGUUUUUUACCAUCUCUUUCCAUGGCAUUUACCCUUCUCUCCCAGACAAUAUGUAAUACGCACCUGUGUCUAUUAGAGAGAGUAUUUGGCAGGCAAUAAGUGGCAGAGAGAUGACAAUUGCUUGUCUGCAAAAUCCAAUAAUAGGGUUUAAAUUUAAAAACUCUUCCUCUUAUAAAUAAUAAUAAUAGUAAAAAAUGAGAGUUUCUAAGGGUACAGGUCAUAUGCAAAUCAAAGUGUUAAGCUAUUUGGUAAAAUAUUUGCUCAUAUCAGUGAUGGUAGUCAUAGCUCUGAGGAAAGGAGGCACUUUCACACUUUGUCUUCAUCUCAUGCCAAGAUGUUCCUACAGUUGUUAACUAUUCAACUAUGCUGGGCCCAUAUGAAUUUGUUCUUGUGUGGCUAACGAUAGCACAGAAAAUCAAUGAAUGAUAACUAUCAUGUGUAGCUCUUAAUUAGGCAGAGGGUGGAUUUCCUGCAUAAUUUGUGCAAAUGAGAAAGUGUUACUGAUGGAUGGGAGGUUGGAAGACUCCUGGAAAACUUGCCCCUAGUGUGGGCUGAGUGAAGGAUAUUGGCUGAUGAAGGGCACGGUGCUGGGUUGUCCCAAGUGCCGCCUAUGCAUAUUGCCCUGUGCCACACAGGGUGAGGGGCCACUUCCUGCUGGGAGCUCUGCUGGAACCUCCCUUCCCAUGCAGAGAUCCCUCCUGCCAGGCUGUCCGUGUGUGGAGCUUGGAGCUGCAGGUGUAGCUACCAUGUGAGGCAAUGGAGUGAGUGUGCAGGCCUAAAACUCAAGGGAACUGAGGAGGAAACAGCUGGGGAAAAUGGGGAGGAGAGGGAGCAGUGGGGGCUGGUGCUGUGCAAGCAGGUCAGUGCCCUGCUGUGACUCAGUCCUGAGUCUGAUUGCUGCGGGCUGUCCUCUCUGAUUCUUCAUUUGUGGUUAUUUGCUGUGAGGGAUGGGCUCAGUAAUCCAGUAAGAAAGGGGUGAACGAUGCUGUACGUGAGGUGGACACCACAGCACUCUGUGUCUUGACGCAGCAGAAGGAAGACCUGAUGUCCUUGCCCAAGCGCUCCGGGGUCCCAGCACGGAAGACUUAUUACAGUGAUCUUUGAGACUGCUUGGUGUUGCUGCAUCCCAAUUUUCAUCCAGAAAACAACCGUACACCCCCUUAACGGUAACAUCCGUGGGUAACAAAUACCCUAACAUCUCCGGCCACGGGCUAGGGCCCUCCCGCCGCUGGUUUUUCUCAUCAAUGAGUGACGCAACCCUUGGCGGCGGCGUCCAUCGCCAUUCCGGCCAACAGGGAUCGACGCUGCACGGGCUUA